rnacentral:rRNA from 1 species
UGGGGAAUCUUGGACAAUGGGCGCAAGCCUGAUCCAGCCAUGCCGCGUGAGUGACGAAGGCCUUAGGGUUGUAAAGCUCUUUUGGCGGGGACGAUAAUGACGGUACCCGCAGAAUAAGCCCCGGCUAACUUCGUGCCAGCAGCCGCGGUAAUACGAAGGGGGCUAGCGUUGUUCGGAAUUACUGGGCGUAAAGCGCACGUAGGCGGAUUUGUCAGUCAGGGGUGAAAUCCCGAGGCUCAACCUCGGAACUGCCUCCGAUACAGCAAGUCUCGAGUCCGGAAGAGGUGAGUGGAAUUCCUAGUGUAGAGGUGAAAUUCGUAGAUAUUAGGAAGAACACCAGUGGCGAAGGCGGCUCACUGGUCCGGUACUGACGCUGAGGUGCGAAAGCGUGGGGAGCAAACAGGAUUAGAUACCCAUGUAGUCCCUGAGCGGGCUGGCAAGGCGCAU